CACACACACAAACAAUUUGCAACUUAUUUGCUCUGGGUGUGAAAAACUUUGAAAGAGUUGCCAAUACAAAGGCCAGGCUGAGAGGGGCAAUCAGGGCAGUAAAAACUGGUUACCGUCCUUAUGCUCCUCUGGUAGCCCACCCUGCACCUGCUGCUAGGCCCGGCUGAUGGUCCCCCACUGUGGCACUCAGUGAGCAGCCCAAAAAUCAGGUGAAACUGAAAAUCCAGAAAUGUGGAUUUAAUUUAAGCAUUUGCCUUUUUGUAUAGAAUAAAAGGCAUUGUGUGUUGUCAUUUGCAUUAAGUUUUUUGUACCAUGCCCUGGUCUUCCUCAGUAUGAAAUAGGGCUGCAGCAGUUAGUCAGACAGGUUAAAUUCCCCCAAAUGCUUGUUGUACUGCCUAAAGCAGACUGGCACCCCUCUGGCAUCCCUCUGCCACGAACUGGGAUCCUUGAUGUGGGCUCACUGUGCAUGGAUGUGUCAGGGUGGCGGUCCAGAAACCGGGACCCCUGAGUGCCUGAUGAAGUUGGGAGUCUCCAGCGUGGAAGUGGACUAUCAGGGCCUGGUGCAGGGUAACCACACGCCCUCUGGUGUUAAGCACCAGAGUUUGUGCGGCCACAUACCAGGUCCCUGAUGCAGCUACAGCGGAUCCCAGGAACUUGAAGCUUGGAAUUAAGCAGACCUCCCAGGAGCUGAAUAGGGGGGCUCUGCAGCAAGAAUGUAUCCAGUACAGAAACAAGGCAAGGCUAGGAUAGUCACCAAACAAGACAAAAACUAGUAGAACCCAGAACCAGAGAAGGAUAGAAAGCUAAACCCAGAACAUGUACACAAUACAUCAAGGGAACAUUAACUAAACAGGGGCAGGACAGGACAGGACUGAACAUGGACUGGGAUUACAAACUAAAACAAGACAAGAGAUACAAGGCAAAACAAGAGGAGACAUAACUAAGCACUAUAUAUGGAAAUCAUGGGGAUUUAGUCACAUUAUAUGAUCAUACAUUGCACAAGCCUGCCAACAACGCCAAUGUACCCCAUAUCUGGCAGGUCCUACACUGCCUAAUGUUAGCUAAAAGAACCAUACUAAACCACAAUACAGCACUUGCCUGCAAGAAAGGGCAGAGACUUGAACCACUGCUGCAGGUCCAGACUGAAACAAAAGGAAAAUGGAAAACAAACGGGCGUGGCAACAUAAAACAAACAUUUAAAGGAAACCUGGACACUGGGAAUUCCAGGGACGGAGUACAGGAAUGAACCCAGAAAAACCCAGCAUAAAGAAAACCAGACAUAGACCAGAAAACCAGAAAAACCAAGAAAAACUAAACAAGAAUUGUAAAAAGAGUAUUGGAUACCAGAAGCCAUCACCAGAAUGAUCCGCAGAACAAGGCAUGAUGUGACAGGAUGUUGGCAUGAACACCUUUUUAUCUUUAAAUUUGAGAUCCAGCAGUUCGUCCUGGCAGAGAGCAGCUGUUUCCCCCUCUUUAGCUUUUUUUGUGCCAGGGCUUUUGGGAAACUGGCACAGGUUUUUCGGAUGGUGCCGCAGGCCACAGUUUCAAAGCAAUAAAGCAUCCUAAGAAGAGGGAUGCUGUUGUAGUAGUUGUCUAUGUACAAAUAAUACCCUGUGACAAACUGCCCUUUGUCACUGGUUUUUCAUAUGACCAACUGCCCGUUGCCCCUGACUUUUGGAGGAGCCUAAUUGCCAUCCUCCUGCCUUAUGACUAUGGCCCUUUAAAAACAUUAUUUGGGCAUAUUGGAUUGUAACAUUUUUUUUCUGCCCCUUUAAUUCCAUGGGAAAAUGUGCCUCUUCCUCUCCCCCUUUUUCCUUUCCCAUUGUUCUCCAGCAGGGCGUUGUCCCAGGGACACUGCCAGACCAGUUUAAACUGGCUGAUUUGUCCCUCCUCAAUCUCUGAUCAGCCCUUGCUAAACUUUAACCCCAUGGCGAUUUUAUUCUGUUCGUGGGAUCAGAACGCUGUUUGGAUAUAUUGAGCGCUCAGAUCCAAGCUAUAUGGGGAUGGGAUAGGUUGAAUGUGAGGGUUCUGUUCAGUAUAAUAGGAAUUAUGUAUUUCUACUGUUGUUGUAAAUGGAGAUAUUCCCUGUACCUGGAGAUAAUUAAGUUACCACACCCACUUAAGCCAAUUAUCUCCAGGAUAGAGGAGAAGAUAGCCUGGCUGCUCAGCCUAAAUCUGUGGAACUGUUUUGGGCAGGAAAGCCAUGCUUUUAGUCGGUCAAAUAGGACUUCCACCUAACUUUUGAACCACUGGACCAAAUUGUAUGAUUUUUGGAUAUGUUUGUAUAAUGAUUAUGCUGAUUCAGAAUAUGUAACUUUUAUGUAAAUUGCAUGUAUGGUUUGGAAGUUAUGAAUAUUGUGUAAAACUGUAUAUUUUCCUGCCUGUGAUAAUUAAGUUAACCAAUUGUGUACAGUAAUUAUAUCACAGGCAGAGGGAGGGUUUGUGUGCCUUGGCUGGGAGUGUCUGAC
rnacentral:lncRNA from 1 species